AGUGAACGCUGGCGGUAGGCCUAACACAUGCAAGUCGAACGGCAGCACAGUAAGAGCUUGCUCUUACGGGUGGCGAGUGGCGGACGGGUGAGGAAUACAUCGGAAUCUACUUUUUCGUGGGGGAUAACGUAGGGAAACUUACGCUAAUACCGCAUACGACCUACGGGUGAAAGCAGGGGUUCUUCGGACCUUGCGCGAUUGAAUGAGCCGAUGUCGGAUUAGCUAGUUGGCGGGGUAAAGGCACACCAAGGCGACGAUCCGUAGCUGGUCUGAGAGGAUGAUCAGCCACACUGGAACUGAGACACGGUCCAGACUCCUACGGGAGGCAGCAGUGGGGAAUAUUGGACAAUGGGCGCAAGCCUGAUCCAGCCAUACCGCGUGAGUGAAGAAGGCCUUCGGGUUGUAAAGCCCUGUUGUUGGGAAAGAAAAGCAGCGGGUUAAUACCCCGCUGUUCUGACGGUACCCAAAGAAUAAGCACCGGCUAACUUCGUG
rnacentral:rRNA from 1 species